rnacentral:rRNA from 1 species
GAUGAACGCUGGCGGCGUGCCUAAUACGUGCAAGUCGAGCGAACCACUUCGGUGGUGAGCGGCGAACGGGUGAGUAACACGUAGGUGAUCUGCCCAUCAGACGGGGACAACGAUUGGAAACGAUCGCUAAUACCGGAUAGGACGAAAGUUUAAAGGUGCUUCUGGCACCGCUGAUGGAUGAGCCUGCGGCGCAUUAGCUAGUUGGUAGGGUAAAGGCCUACCAAGGCGACGAUGCGUAGCCGACCUGAGAGGGUGAACGGCCACACUGGGACUGAGACACGGCCCAGACUCCUACGGGAGGUAGCAGUAGGGAAUCCUCGGCAAUGGGCGAAAGCCUGACCGAGCAACGCCGCGUGAACGAUGAAGGCCUUCGGGUCGUAAAGUUCUGUUGUAAGGGAAGAACAAGUGCCGCAGGCAAUGGCGGCACCUUGACGGUACCUUGCGAGAAAGCCACGGCUAACUACGUGCCAGCAGCCGCCGUAA